AUUGAACGCUGGCGGCAGGCCUAACACAUGCGAGUCGAACGGUAACAGGAAGAAGCUUGCUUCUUUGCUGACGAGUGGCGGACGGGUGAGUAAUGUCUGGGAAACUGCCUGAUGGAGGGGGAUAACUACUGGAAACGGUAGCUAAUACCGCAUAACGUCGCAAGACCAAAGAGGGGGACCUUCGGGCCUCUUGCCAUCGGAUGUGCCCAGAUGGGAUUAGCUAGUAGGUGGGGUAACGGCUCACCUAGGCGACGAUCCCUAGCUGGUCUGAGAGGAUGACCAGCCACACUGGAACUGAGACACGGUCCAGACUCCUACGGGAGGCAGCAGUGGGGAAUAUUGCACAAUGGGCGCAAGCCUGGUGCAGCCAUGCCGCGUGUACGAAGAAGGCCUUCGGGUUGUAAAGUACUUUCAGCGGGGAGGAAGGGAGUAAAGUUAAUACCUUUACUCAUUGACGUUACCCGCAGAAGAAGCACCGGCUAACUCCGUG
rnacentral:rRNA from 1 species